rnacentral:lncRNA from 1 species
AAAUUUUGACGGGACGUAUUAUGGUAUACAAAUGUCCGGUGUCCGUCUGUCUGUCUGUCUGUCCAUCCGUCCCUCCGUCCGUCUGUCUGUCUGUCUGUCUGUCUGUCCGGCGUAAACAUGUUGCACCGUAACUUGAGAACGACUUAUCCAAAUUUCAUGAAACUUAAUAUAGUUGUUUCUUAUGAUGGUCAAAUGAUCUGUAUACUUUUUGGUGAAAAUAAGAUUAAUACUUUUUGAGUAACGGCACUUUGUAACUAAAACAGGGGGG